GCCCAGCUAACGAGUCCCAAAUGAAACGAAACGCACGUCCUGGAU
rnacentral:hammerhead_ribozyme from 1 species